UGUAAAUCCAUCUGUGGGUCCUCGAGCAUGUUCGUCCUCGAGACACAAGUCCCGACCACAUCUCCAUCAUGCUUCGCAUAUUGCAAACAUGUGUCCUCGGGCAUGGUCCUCGAGAAUGCUCCUCCUUACUGCUGACGAUUGUUCACCCUUUAGAAUUCCUACGCAAUUAGGAAUCUUAACUCCCACAAGAGUCCUAUCUCACGCAUAAUUCUGGAAUUCAACCAACUCCUUAACCAUUCAGGACUCCAACAGAUGAGGACAUCCAGCUAGUUGAGUCCAAUUAGGAGAAUGUCACUUACUACUAUAAAUACAGAACCUUGAACCAUUAUUCAGGUACGUUUUUCUCAUUGUUCUUCAGCAUAUAGCCUCACGCAUAUAUUUCCCUUUCUGACUUAAGCAUCGGAGGGGCGACGAGAACACACCUCGUUGCCUUUGUUUCAGGUAUCGGAAGAUCACGUUCGUGCUCAUCAUUAGUCAUCAAGCUCGGAAAAUCUACAGGUACGAUUUUUGGUAGCAUCAAUACCCAUUGCCGAAUAAUUUGGAAAUCGGGAGGUAAAAUUUUAGGAGGAUGGAGUGCUUGUUAUAGAAAUUUGUAGAUUGGAAUAUUAAGACCUUAUUUAAUUUUUGAUGUGUGUAAAUUACUUGAGCUGUCGGGAUUCCAGGGAAAAAUGAUAGGGUAGGAAACCAUGUAUUUCAACGGGUUUGAAUGUGGAACAUUGACUUUGGAAAAAUUUCGAUUUGAUGGGAAAUUAGUGAAUGAAAUUUCUUGGUUAUGAGUCAAUAGAUUUUUAAUAAACACAACAUAAUUGUACUCAUCAUCAACAACAACGACAAGACUGUUUGAAAAUUUACAAGAACGUGAAACGAAUCUGGAUUGACGUGCACAUAUGUAUGAUACCUAUCUCUAGGACAUCUUGAUUGUGAAAUUGAGUUCAAUCUUUGAAAGAAAUAGAGUAUUUAUUCUGAUUAAGUACAUAUACGUUUAUAAAGGUAACAAAAUUAUAAAUGUACUUUUUUUUUAUUAUUGAAAUUGCCGCGUGGUAUACAAUAACAACCUAACCACAUUCACGGUGAAUUUACCAUUAAGGUCGGACAAGGUUCAACAAUUUUUAUAUUUGACCGAACUUCAUUUGCAAUGAAUCAUCGACUAGCUUCCAUUUUGAUUGAUUGAUCUAUGAGUGAUUGUUGUCUACUAGCUUCCAUUUCUUGAUUGAUCAACGUUUACACGUCUGUCUAAUGUAAAAAAGGUUCACUGACUUACGCCACUUAUAAUUUCAUGAGAAAGAAAAAUCAACCCUUAUCCUGGUUCAAACGAAACAACUUCUAGGUAAUAGUUUGGUUUGUAACAAGGGCAGUUUCACACAAAUUGUUACAUUUUUCAAGAUCUCAUAAUGCUUUGACUCAACAAAUGAACUGGGCCACUGAUAAUGAUGAUACAUUACACGUUCUACAUAAGAAAAAAUUAUCAAAUGAAUUAUUUCUUUAAUAAAUAAAAAAUAUCAAAUGAAUUAUAUUUUUAUUACAUUGGUUCCAUUUGGAUUUCAUUUUCUUUUGCUAAAAUUCUAUUUUUUAAGUUAAACAUUAAUUUUAAGAAUAAUGCUAUUUACAGUCGCUCACUACAGCAGUCACCCUACGUGACAUAUACAUGGUAGGUGGUUAUUUAAUAUAUUAAUAAAUAAAAAAACUACCACAUUAAUGUAUCAAAUAAUCACCUGUCAUAUGUAUGCUACGUAGGACGACUGUCGCAGUGAACGACUACGAAUAGUAUUACUCUAAUUUUAAUCACCCGUUUCGAUUUUGUGAUAUCCACAAAAGCUAUACAUUAAUCAAUAACUCAUUUCUUGAAAGAGUAUAAUUUUAGUAAAAUAAAAUGGAGGCAACGUGAACAAGCCAACAAAUGGCAGGUCAAAAUAUUUGUUUGGAACCAGAUUCGUUGACUUUGAAAAAUUAAAAUUCUAAUACUCAAUUAACUAAUUAAUAGUAUUUUUUAAAAAUCUAUAUAAUGUUAGAUUAAGACCGAUAUAAAUAUAAUUUAUUGGGAUAAGGAUAUAAAUAUUGUAAGAUUCAUGUAACAACUUUUUUUUUUAAUAUGUAAUUAAUUACAUUUUUUUGUGAAACCGAUCAAUAGAAAGUUAACAAUUUAUAAUUUUCAGCCUAAUUGGAUCACCAAUAGGGUUGAAUGCAUAGUGAAAACCCUUUUUCUUCUUAAUAUAAUAUAAGUUCUUGAAAUGUUUUGAUAUAAUCUGAAGAAAUUCUUGAAAAUAACUAUAUUUGAAAUGUUGAACCCGAUAAAAUCAGAAAAAAUUAGAUUAAACAUUUUAUUUUUCUUUCAAUUUUAUCUAAUUUAAUUAACGUAUCAAUUUUAAAUGUUGAAUGACUAAGAGGAUUGAAGAACUUGCACAUUUGUUAUACAUUUUUGUUUUCUAACUUAAUGGUGCCCAACAUGUCCUUAAAUGUUUUUGAAAAAUCAUUUCUAUACGCUCUGAUAUGUUCUCACUGGAUUGAUUGUAGUCCUUAUUUUUAUGUUUUCGUUUGUUUGCGAAUAUUCAAAUUUGAAAAGUAUUCAUAAAAGAUUUAAAUUAUAAAUAGAUAGAAUGAAUAAUAAAUAAUGAAGCAAAUUUAUACAAAUAAAUUUGAAUUAUUUAAUAUAUAAAGUAAGUAGGUAUAGCGUAAAAACUGGGAAAGCAUCUGGCGAAAUUUUCUAAAGAUUUGAUGGAGCAGAAAAUACGUGUUUACUUUGUGGGAUGGUGAAUGCAGGCUAGAGUCAAAGCACUAGACUUUGUGCAACCAAUCAUCUCUCUCUCUCUCUUGUAUUGAAAAAAAUGUGGUAUUUUGCCCUCCGGGACAUAAUCCAGUGGUGCAAAGAAUAGGAGUGAAAUAAUCACAACCUUAUGGGCAGUUGCAGUGUGAGGGUUCCAUUCCUGAGAUAUAAAAUUGGAUUCUUUGUGGGCACCAAUGUACGGGUAAACUCUUAUUCUCUGACCUGUUGAGAUACAUCCCGCGAUUUACCUUCUUUACGAUGCUCCAGGGACGGGAGGCCCUCAAGGUGGAGUUCAACCUUUUUGAAAAUGUGGUAUUCUCCUUUUGUUUUCCUUGUAUUCACAUGCCAAUAAAUAAAAAUGAAAAUAAUAUAGAACAUUUUAGACUAAUUGGGGAAGGAAGAUCAACAACUGUUACUAGUAGCUGUCGAGAAACCCAAAUCAGUAGGGACGCUAAUAAGGAUAUAUUUGAAUACCAUUAAAAUGAAGAUUCUUUUUUUUUUUUGGGGAAAAUUUGUGGUUAAAAAGUAUGAACUUUUUUUGAAUUUAUGUGCAAAAUAUUUAUUGUGAGAAUAUGUAAUUGAAAAUGAAUUUAAGAAAAAAGUAAUUUUAUUAAUUUUAAUAGUUGUAAACCAUGGCUAAAUCAUAUUAUAAUUCAGUUUAGAAUAGAUGAGGAUAGAGUGGAUUUGGAUUUGAGAGUGAAAGUAUGAUAUGUGUUUGUUUAUCACGAUACUUCAUUUUAACUGUAAAUAGAAUAAAAAUGCUACGCGUACAGGAAACUUGAUACAAAAGGGGUACAGGGUUUCAAAUGAUGCUGAUGUGGCAUAGUGGAAAAAAUAAUAAUAACACAACUAAUCAAUUCAAAAUCGUAUUUCCAUUUCCCCCAAUUCACGCAAGAAAUAUCUUUCCCAAACCAAUCUUCCUAUACUCCCGAUCACCGUCACUGUCGAUGUGAGCACCCCCUUCACCAUCGACGCCAACAAUUGCUACCUGGGAACAGAAAAUUAGACGCCACAUUCACCAACAUAUAUGACGCGGCACUCGCCUCCCUUCCCUGCCACACUCCAUGAGGGUUAGAAUGUAAAUAGUUGUGGUCGUAAUUUAGCUAUAUUUUUCUGUGUCUUCUUCUAAAUUGUUGAUUUUUUCAGCGAUUGUCGUCUUCUAAAGUUUUGUUUUUGGAUUUUCCAUUUUUUAUUUUGUAUUCUUCUAAAUUCCUUGUCGCCAAUGUUGAAUGAUACGAUGUGCAUAAUAUGAUCUUGUUAAGUAAAGUGUUGAUUUUUUAGCGGUUGUCGUCUUCUAAAGUUUUGUUUCUGGAUGUGGUUUAUUUAUUAUUAUUUUUUUGUAUUCUUUUGAAUUUAAUGUCGCCAAUGUUGAAUGAUAUGGUCUGAAUAAUAUGAUUUUGUGGUUACGAAUUUGUACAAAGAAUCAAUUCAUUUGUUAACGAGCUUAGGUUUUUGCCGAGGUUUUUUACAUGGAUAAUGAGGUUUAGGUUGUUGAUGUGGAAUUUUGCAACUGAGAUGCAUUCAUCUUUGUUUAUUUGUUUGUCCAGCCCGGAUUGACUACAAUGAGAGGAAGGAAUAUAGGAGUUUGUCACAGUUGCAGAAGCAACACUCAUUACUUUGGACAAUGCUAAACAAAGCGUCGAUGCCCUUCAUGUAAACACGGAUAUCGCAAUUGUUUUGAGAUGGAACGGGAUACUAGUAACAAAGGGCGAUUGUUCUUUACCUGUAGUAAUGAUUGUGGAUAUUUCGACUAGGUGAAAGAAGAAGUGCUAAGUGGGGAGUCAAGUUCCGUUAACGAAGCGAUGAAUCAUGAGUCCAAUGUGGAAGAUGAAGAUUUGCCAAGACUCUUUGACGGUCUAGCUCGAAUUAGUGAAAAACGAGGCGUGGACAUAUCAAUGCACUUGAGUUUCAGCAAGGGAAAGGGCAUUGCGAAGUGCGAUGGGAAAGGAAAGGGUUCGACUUGAACGGUUUAUUUGAUGUAUGGGUAAUCUUAUCAAAACUGGUCAUUGUACGAACGAUUGUUAUUAGAUUCGUCGUAAUAUAUGUUAUGGUUGCUAGAACCUUUACGACAUACUUAUUCUCGAUUUUUUUUUUUUUUUUGCGAACAUCCUAGCUAAAUUGUUUAACAAGAAAGACUUGUCAUUAAAGUCUUCUACUGUUAUUGUGCAGUCUUCAAUGUUUGUUGUAUAUUGUGUCACUGGUUUAUAUUGUACAUCCACUCAGUUUCAGCAAUCUAGCCCAUUAUCCAUUUAUUGUUACAUUCAGG
rnacentral:lncRNA from 1 species